rnacentral:rRNA from 1 species
GAUGUUCAGAGUUGUACUAAUUACCGUGGAAUUAAGCUGAUGAGCCAUACAAUGAAGCUAUGGGAGAGAGUCAUUGAGCACCGCUUAAGAAGAAUGACAAGCGUGACCAAAAAUCAGUUUGGUUUCAUGCCUGGGAGGUCGACCAUGGAAGCCAUUUUCUUGGUACGACAACUUAUGGAGAGAUAUAGGGAGCAAAAGAAGGAAUUGCAUAUGGUGUUCAUUGACUUGGAGAAGGCCUAUGAUAAGAUACCGCGGAAUGUCAUGUGGUGGGCCUUGGAGAAACACAAAUUCCCAGCAAAGUACAUUACCCUCAUCAAGGACAUGUACGAUAAUGUUGUGACAAGUGUUCGAACAAGUGAUGUCGACACCGAUGACUUCCCGAUUAAGAUAGGACUGCAUCAG